rfam:Chloroflexi bacterium RBG_19FT_COMBO_47_9 rbg_19ft_combo_scaffold_910, whole genome shotgun sequence.
ACAAAGGCUUUGAGCGAGGAAAGUAAUUGGAUUGCAACCGACAGGGAGGCAUGGGCGUAGACUGAGACCCCGCCAGGCGAAAAUCCAGUGAAGUUCCCUCAGGAGCUGUCCGGGUGAAUGUCUAAUACACUAGUAGCGCGGAACGCAACCCAAGCGUUAUCCUGGGGACCGAUCGCUUUAUAGCUGUCGGACGAAGAGGGUCGCGUUAGCGAUCAACAAGGGUGGUACCACGGGAAACGCCUCCCGUCCCUUGA